AUUCCUUAUUCUACUACCAUGCAUCUGUUGACCGCGAGCCUUUCUCGGCAUGUGCACACUUGUCCAUCUUUAUCAUUUCUCCAACCUGUGCACUUAUUGUAGACCUUUUAGAUUUUGGGACUGCUGUGCUUUUUUGUAUCAGUCAGCUUUCCCUUUGAUUUUUAAAAAAAAAUGUCUACGUGAUUUUCACAAUCUCAUAAACGUUUUGAAUGUAUGAAACAAAAAAUAUAUACAACUUUCAGCAACGGAUCUCUUGGCUCUCGCAUCGAUGAAGAACGCAGCGAAAUGCGAUAAGUAAUGUGAAUUGCAGAAUUCAGUGAAUCAUCGAAUUUUUGAACGCAUCUUGCGCUCCUUGGUAUUCCAAGGAGCAUGCCUGUUUGAGUGUCAUGAAGUUCUCAACCACAGAUUUUAUUUUUUUGUGGCUUGGAUUGGUGGGAGUGUUGCCGGCUUGAAAAAAGUGGGCUCUCCUUGAAUGCAUAAGUGGUAUUUGGAAAAGCUACUUGUUGGGUGUUGUAAAUUGAUAAUUACACCUUCUGGCGAUUCUACUAUGCUGCUUCAAACAACUCUAUUUUGAUAAUUUUGACCUCAAAUCAGGUAGGACUACCCGCUGAACUUAAGCAUAUCAAUAAGGGGAGGAA
rnacentral:rRNA from 1 species